rnacentral:lncRNA from 1 species
CAUCAGCUGACUUGAACUUCCAAUGUUGUUGUCCUUUGGCAGCCUUUCAAACCAAACAAUAGAAUUUUCAUGAUGUUGUCCAAUGAUAGUCUUUUAAACUAAAAAACACAAUAAAAUAUAUCAAAUAAAGCGGAUACAUAUAACAUAUUACCUAUUUUGAAAUUCAACUAUAUCUGAGACGUCUUCGUUAAUGAGCAUAUUAGUUAUGUUGUAUGUGUUCGAUACUGAAAACGGAUACUUGCCUAUUUAAAAACAAACGCUUAUAAGUAAGAAUUUAAUAAGUUAUUUGAUUUAAUGUUAUUCAAUCAAUAAGAAGAAUAAUUAUACCUUUGGCUUUAACUUUCGCAUAUUGUAACAAUAUGAUUGUCGGACCACCGUCUUUGUUCAUUUGAACGUAGUUCAUGAUUUAACAGCAUAUGUCUCCCAAAAAAGUAUAGUUCAAUGUGUCAUUCCUGCACAAUUUCAAUGAUUAUUUUAACAAAUUAUAUAGUACUAUAAGAAUAGUAGUUAAAGUCGAAAUAUAAAAACUGUCAUAAAAAUAAAUUAAAAGCCAGAACAUUUACACAUGGUCUUUUAGAAUUAGGUUCACUUGUUGCUUGUUGUUGCCAGC